GUCGGGACGUAACACUAUGGGCCCUGCCGGGCGCAGUAUUGUGCCCGGUGGCUGCAGUGGCGGAGUACAUGGCCCGGAGGCCGGCGGUAGGGGGUUCUUUGUUGGUGCAUGCGGAUGGUUCUUCCCUGUCCCGAUUCCAGUUUACGAAGGUUUUUCGGUCGGGACUAGGUAAGUUGGGGCUUCCGGCCGGACGUUUUGGUACUCACUCCUUUCGCAUUGGGGCAGCCACGGAGGCCGCACGGUUGGGACUAGGAGAUGAGGUCGUGAAGCGCAUAGGGAGAUGGGAGUCGGUGCGGUUCCGUUCAUAUGUACGGUUGGGCUUAUUGGAAUGAUAAUAAUAAAAAAA